rnacentral:rRNA from 1 species
AUUGAACGCUGGCGGCAGGCCUAACACAUGCAAGUCAAGCGGAUGAAGGGAGCUUGCUCCUGGAUUCAGCGGCGGACGGGUGAGUAAUGCCUAGGAAUCUGCCUGGUAGUGGGGGAUAACGUCCGGAAACGGGCGCUAAUACCGCAUACGUCCUGAGGGAGAAAGUGGGGGAUCUUCGGACCUCACGCUAUCAGAUGAGCCUAGGUCGGAUUAGCUAGUUGGUGGGGUAAAUGCCUACCAAGGCGACGAUCCGUAACUGGUCUGAGAGGAUGAUCAGUCACACUGGAACUGAGACACGGUCCAGACUCCUACGGGAGGCAGCAGUGGGGAAUAUUGGACAAUGGGCGAAAGCCUGAUCCAGCCAUGCCGCGUGUGUGAAGAAGGUCUUCGGAUUGUAAAGCACUUUAAGUUGGGAGGAAGGGCAGUAAGUUAAUACCUUGCUGUUUUGACGUUACCAACAGAAUAAGCACCGGCUAACUUCGUG